UACGAAGGGGGCUAGCGUUGCUCGGAAUCACUGGGCGUAAAGCGCACGUAGGCGGAUCUUUAAGUCAGGGGUGAAAUCCCAAGGCUCAACCUUGGAACUGCCUUUGAUACUGGGGAUCUCGAGUCCGGAAGAGGUGAGUGGAACUGCGAGUGUAGAGGUGAAAUUCGUAGAUAUUCGCAAGAACACCAGUGGCGAAGGCGGCUCACUGGUCCGGUACUGACGCUGAGGUGCGAAAGCGUGGGGAGCGAGCAGG
rnacentral:rRNA from 1 species